GAUGAACGCUGGCGGCGUGCCUAAUACAUGCAAGUCGAGCGAACGGACGAGAAGCUUGCUUCUCUGAUGUUAGCGGCGGACGGGUGAGUAACACGUGGAUAACCUACCUACAAGACUGGGAUAACUUCGGGAAACCGGAGCUAAUACCGGAUAAUAUUUUGAACCGCAUGGUUCAAAAGUGAAAGGCGGUCUUGCUGUCACUUAUAGAUGGAUCCGCGCUGCAUUAGCUAGUUGGUAAGGUAACGGCUUACCAAGGCAACGAUGCAUAGCCGACCUGAGAGGGUGAUCGGCCACACUGGAACUGAGACACGGUCCAGACUCCUACGGGAGGCAGCAGUAGGGAAUCUUCCGCAAUGGGCGAAAGCCUGACGGAGCAACGCCGCGUGAGUGAUGAAGGUCUUCGGAUCGUAAAACUCUGUUAUUAGGGAAGAACAUAUGUGUAAGUAACUGUGCACAUCUUGACGGUACCUAAUCAGAAAGCCACGGCUAACUACGUG
rnacentral:rRNA from 1 species